GCCUGAUGCAGCCAUGCCGCGUGUAUGAAGAAGGCCUUCGGGUUGUAAAGUACUUUCAGCGGGGAGGAAGGUGUUGAGGUUAAUAACCUCAGCAAUUGACGUUACCCGCAGAAGAAGCACCGGCUAACUCCGUGCCAGCAGCCGCGGUAAUCA
rnacentral:rRNA from 1 species